AGUCGAGCGAACGGACGAGAAGCUUGCUUCUCUGAUGUUAGCGGCGGACGGGUGAGUAACACGUGGAUAACCUACCUAUAAGACUGGGAUAACUUCGGGAAACCGGAGCUAAUACCGGAUAAUAUUUUGAACCGCAUGGUUCAAAAGUGAAAGACGGUCUUGCUGUCACUUAUAGAUGGAUCCGCGCUGCAUUAGCUAGUUGGUAAGGUAACGGCUUACCAAGGCAACGAUGCAUAGCCGACCUGAGAGGGUGAUCGGCCACACUGGAACUGAGACACGGUCCAGACUCCUACGGGAGGCAGCAGUAGGGAAUCUUCCGCAAUGGGCGAAAGCCUGACGGAGCAACGCCGCGUGAGUGAUGAAGGUCUUCGGAUCGUAAAACUCUGUUAUUAGGGAAGAACAUAUGUGUAAGUAACUGUGCACAUCUUGACGGUACCUAAUCAGAAAGCCACGGCUAACUACGUGCCAGCAGCCGCGGUAAUACGUAGGUGGCAAGCGUUAUCCGGAAUUAUUGGGCGUAAAGCGCGCGUAGGCGGUUUUUUAAGUCUGAUGUGAAAGCCCACGGCUCAACCGUGGAGGGUCAUUGGAAACUGGAAAACUUGAGUGCAGAAGAGGAAAGUGGAAUUCCAUGUGUAGCGGUGAAAUGCGCAGAGAUAUGGAGGAACACCAGUGGCGAAGGCGACUUUCUGGUCUGUAACUGACGCUGAUGUGC
rnacentral:rRNA from 2 species